UGGGGAGCAGAUUGAGCAGCUUGUGAUUAAAAAGGAGAUUGGAACUCGUAUCAAAGAUGUCGUUUUGGAUGGUCCUGGGCCGGUAUUAGUUGCAAUAGAUAUUGACGGUGGCAAAAGUAUGUAUUACGUGUUUGCAGAACGGACGAGGCUAUCCGAAGGUACUACGGACAUUGUCACAGCUUUGCAAGACGUCAUGACUGUACACUUUGUUCACAAUUUCAUGUAUAUGAAAUGUGUUUCAAAAUUCCUCGAGCUUAUUCAGGAGUACUUUUUGAAAAUUAUUACGCUCUCCGGAUCAAAAUCGAAUGCCGUUCGAGUUGGCCAACGACAACGUGUCGUGAAAAAGGUCAUAACUGCAUUGUCUAAUCAUCGAAUUCCACAAGCUGAACCGUUAAAUAUUUUAUAAUAAUGAUUUGAUGACUGAUUCUGUAGAU